rnacentral:piRNA from 1 species
CCCAGAGGUAACCUGGGGGCCUGAGGAUGAGG